rnacentral:tRNA from 1 species
GUUGUGGCUCAGAGGUAGAGUACUCGCCUAGCAUGUGUGAGGCACUGGGUUCGAUCCUCAGCACAACG